GACGAACGCUGGCGGCGUGCUUAACACAUUCAAGUCGAACGAAGUGGCGAACGGGUGAGUAACGCGUAAUCAAACUGCCCUUCAGAGGGGGACAACAGUUGGGAACGACUGCUAAUACCGCAUACUGAAGGGGGGGAUUGCGUCUGAUUAGCUAGUUGGAGGGGUAAAGGCCCACCAAGGCGAUGAUAAGUAGCCGGUCUGAGAGGAUGAACUGCCACAAUGGGACUGAGAAACGGCCCAGACUCCUACGGGAGGCAGCAGGGGGGAUUCUUCCGCAAUGGACGAAAGUCUGACGGAGCAACGCCGCGUGAUUGAUGACGGCUUUCGGGUUGUAAAGCUCUGUUAAUCGGUACGCGGUACCGGAAUAGAACGCCACGGCUAACUACGUGCCAGCAGCCGCGGUAAUUC
rnacentral:rRNA from 1 species